rnacentral:rRNA from 1 species
UGGGGAAUUUUGGACAAUGGGCGCAAGCCUGAUCCAGCCAUGCCGCGUGUGGGAAGAAGGCCUUCGGAUUGUAAACUCCUGUUGAUCGGGACGAAAAGCUUCAACCUAAUACGUUGAAGACUGACGGUACCGGUUGAGGAAGCCACGGCUAACUCUGUGCCAGCAGCCGCGGUAAUACAGAGGUGGCAAGCGUUGUUCGGAAUUACUGGGCGUAAAGCGCGCGUAGGUGGUUUGUUAAGUUGGAUGUGAAAGCCCCGGGCUCAACCUGGGAACUGCAUCCAAAACUGGCAAGCUAGAGUACGGUAGAGGGUGGUGGAAUUUCCUGUGUAGCGGUGAAAUGCGUAGAUAUAGGAAGGAACACCAGUGGCGAAGGCGACCACCUGGACUGAUACUGACACUGAGGUGCGAAAGCGUGGGGAGCAAACAGGAUUAGAUACCCCCGUAGUCCCUGAGCGGGCUGGCAAGGCGCAU